rnacentral:rRNA from 1 species
AACGAACGCUGGCGGCAUGCCUAACACAUGCAAGUCGAACGAAACCUUCAGGUCUAGUUGGCCACGGGUGCGCAACGCGUGGGAAUCGACCCACAAGCGCGGAAUAACUCAGAGAAAUACGAGCGAAUAACGGAUGAUAACGAAAGCCAAAAGACUUAUCGACUGAGGGUGAGCACGCUGAGGAUUAGGUAGUUGGAUAGGUAAAGGCUGACCAAGCGGACGAUCCUUAGCUGGUCUGAGAGCAGGAACAGCGACACUGGGACUGAGACACGGCCCAGACUCCUACGGGAGGCAGCAGUGGGGAAUAUUGGCCAAUGGGCGAGAGCGUGAUCCAGCAAUGCCGCGGGAGUGAUGAAGGUCUUAGGGUUGUAAAGCUCUUUUAACCGGGAUGAUAAUGACAGUACCGGGAGAAUAAGCUCCGGCUAACUCCGUG